CGCGGCGGGACCCGGAGCCUGGAGUUCGGGUGGGUAACCCGAGCUCUCCAAGCUCUUGAAGCCGCGAGGGUGGCUUAGCUUCGGUGUUUUGGCUGAGAACACCCUUAAAGCUUAAAAUAAAACCUGCCUCUGGGGUGCAGGGGAGGAGAGAGGAGGACGCGAAUCACACCCGCUGCUGCCCCCCAGCCCGCCCCGUCUGUACAAUGGGAUGCUCGGGACUCGGACGGGAGGAUCCAGUGACUGCGAGCCCCGCAUUCGCCCGAUCCCAGCCUCACACCCCCAGCCAGCCCCCAGAGACCCUCCCACACUUACGAAGGAAAUGCAUGCGGCCAGGAGGAGAAUCCGCACCAGGAGGUCUUCAAACUGCUCUAUCACCAGCUCCCACAGGGUCUUCCCUGGGGGAGGAGCAGGGAGCUCUACCCAGGAAAAAGAAGAAAAGGACAGAUUCAUUUGGGGUUCAGCCUCAUGCCCCCCACACCCAAGACUUUGUGGCUAAGAUAAGAGAAUCAGGCCACCUUGAGGUUCAUCAAGGUCAUCCCAUUAAAACCUCCCAAAACUCUGGA
rnacentral:antisense_RNA from 1 species